UACGUAGGGGGCUAGCGUUGUCCGGAAUCAUUGGGCGUAAAGAGCGUGUAGGCGGCUCGGUAAGUCCGCUGUGAAAGUCCAGGGCUCAACCCUGGAGUGCCAGUGGAAACUGUCGAGCUAGAGUCCGGAAGAGGCGAGUGGAAUUCCUGGUGUAGCGGUGAAAUGCGCAGAUAUCAGGAGGAACACCAAUGGCGAAGGCAGCUCGCUGGGACGGUACUGACGCUGAGACGCGAAAGCGUGGGGAGCAAACAGG
rnacentral:rRNA from 1 species